UAACAACAGAGUUUGUGAUGGCAUUCUUGGUGACACAUGUGGCUGCAUUAAUGACCUCCCAGCUGAUGGCCAGUUCUGCCAACUAAACAGCAGCCAAACAGAGUCAACAGCAGAACAAAGGACAGAGUCAACUGAGAUGACCACACAGUCUACUGCAAGCUUUGCUGUUGAUAAGACCUUCACUGUUAAUGGGACCUUCACUGUUAAUGGGACAUUCACAAUGAACAUGGAUUUCCAGGACUCAUACAAUUCUCCUAACAGUAAAGUUUACAAAGAUGUUUAUGAUGCGGUUGAAGGAAAGUGUCAGCAGUUUAUCUCAAAGGUUUGCAAAGUGCAGAAUUUGACCUUCAGGCAUGGAAGUACCAUCACUGACUAUACUCUCAGUGCUUCUUCUGAUAGUGAGACACAGAUUGAUUUAUCAAAAUAUGAAAUGUUAAAACUACUGGCAGAAACAUA